CCGGCCCAAGCUUACAGCUAGAUGAAGGAACAAAGCAUAGGCCUCCACUACCCGUGCCAACUGCCUAUUUGUUCCGUGUUUUCAUUUAACAUUUGAAGCUUCAAACCCUGUAAACGAUACCUAACCUUUUCCACAAUCGUCUUUUAUUUUCGUUCCUUGGCUGAGAGACUGCCGACUUUGUCUUGGCUGGGAUUACUUUUGAUUUGUUGACUUUUAUUUUUCGGUCAAAUAUAGAACCGAGAGUGAAGCAUUGACUGCUGCUUCCUCUCUAUUGUUUCAGGUACUACCUCGGUUCUUCCGUUACUUUCCGUUAAUUAGUGAUUAUUUUUCUCUCUUCUAUUUGGUUGCGUCGAUGUUUUGUCUUGUUUUUUCUGGAAUGCAGCUAGAGUGUAGAUAUGUGGUGGCCCUCUUAGAGAUGAUCUGAAAGAAAAUAUUCAAUCCCAGAUCUUCAAGCUAAAGUAGUAGAGUGAGGUUGUUGCAGUUAAGCAAUUGGAUAGAAAUAGACUCUAAGGGACCAGAGGCUACUUGUCUAUUAGUUCAUGCCCUUGGGAUCAUUGGAAGAUCAUCUUCAUGUCCGACCUGUACACUUUGUCUGAUGACGGCUAUGUGGUCUGCAACGAGGCUAGGAAAAAUCCAACUAACCCAAGUAUGAAUUGGGACCUGAAUUUAAGAAGGUAGGCAACUUCUUAAGUCGUAUCAAGUCUAUUCCCAGUAUUAUUGAACUAGAUAGCCUAAAAAUGAGUGGUGAUGGUGGUUUGGAUCUGGUAUCACCCUGAAGGACUGGUUCCAAAACUGAGCUUGCUCCAGUUUCAGUUUCAACAGGUUCUCGCACUGAUGCAAUACCAUAUUCUGGGAAAUAUGGUGGGGUAGUUGCCAUGUUGGGUACAAUAGAAGCCAUCAACGUUCUAAAGAGGUAUGUUGGCUAAAUUGGCUUGACUGACUCUUGUUAGCCCUCUUGAAUUCUUAAAUUGUACCAUGGCCCAAAAUUCAAGGUUGCAGUUGUUUGCUGGUUUGCUUUACCUAAAUUUUUCGCUUGUUCGAUGGUAGGUAAUUUUUUCACGGAGUUGGAAUCUUAGAGAAUUGCCUUUCCCCCCUACUCCUUUAUGUGUUUCUUGGAUCCUUGCUUUACUAAUGCUGCUAUGCAAUGGUCUUAAUGCUAAUUUUUUUCAUCUUUUUUCCUUGUAUGCUUUGUUCUUUCCCUGAUGCUAAAUAUCUGGCUGUGAUUGUUUGCAGCUUUUUGAUGUUUUAUCUUUUCUGGAGUUUUGUUUGAUUUCUUUUGGAUUUGUCAUAAGAGAUGUUAAAAAGUAGGAACAAGUUUUUGGAUACAAAUCUAGAGAAAGUUUGUGGAGCUUCCCACACAUUCAUUUGGCAACCAAGAUACACGUGAUGCUUCGUCUGCAGCAAUCCACCAUGAGAACAAAGCUGUCAUGUACCACUGCAAAUAUCCGCUUUUAAGGUUUAUUGAUGACUUCAUUUUCAUGUCAAUGUCAAAGAAACGGGCCUCUUUGUUCUUCUCCCGGUUGCAAGGAGGAUUUCAUGGAUACAACUGCUAUAUGAAUAACGGGAAAUUUGGUGUAAAUUUUGAUAUGGAUCAUGUAUCAGGAUUCAGGUCAAAUAGACUCUAUGUGGGUUAACUCUAUGGUUGACCAUAGAGUAAAUUUUGAAAUGAAGCUUAUGGAUUUGAAGCUCAGGAUAAGAUAGCUGAUUUGGAUUCCUA